rnacentral:misc_RNA from 1 species
CAGAGUUGCAAGACUCCCUAAACCAUUGUGAACCUACCUUCUACCGUUGCUUCGGCGGGCGGGCCCAGCGCCCCCCCGGCCCCCCGCGGGCGCCCGCCGGAGGGUACCCAAACUCUUGACAUUAGUGGCCUCUCUGAGUAUUCUUUACUGAAUAAGUCA